AGUGAACGCUGGCGGCAGGCCUAACACAUGCAAGUCGAGCGGCAGCGCGGGGGCAACCCUGGCGGCGAGCGGCGGACGGGUGAGGAACACAUCGGAAUCUACCCUGUCGUGGGGGAUAACGUAGGGAAACCUACGCUAAUACCGCAUGAUCUGGAGACAGCAAAGCGGCGGACCGCAAGGCGUCGCGCGAUGGGAUGAGCCGAUGUCCGAUUAGCUAGUUGGCGGGGUAAGAGCCCACCAAGGCGACGAUCGGUAGCUGGUCUGAGAGGACGACCAGCCACACUGGAACUGAGACACGGUCCAGACUCCUACGGGAAGCAGCAGUGGGGAAUAUUGGACAAUGGGGGCAACCCUGAUCCAGCCAUGCCGCGUGGGUGAAGAAGGCCUUCGGGUUGUAAAGCCCUUUUGUUCGGGAAGAAAAGCCGCCGGUUAAUACCCGGUGGUGCUGACGGUACCGAAAGAAUAAGCACCGGCUAACUUCGUGCCAGCCGCCGCAGUAAUAC
rnacentral:rRNA from 1 species